rnacentral:rRNA from 1 species
CCUACGGUGAGCAGCAGUGAGGAAUAUUGGUCAAUGGACGCAAGUCUGAACCAGCCAUGCCGCGUGCAGGAAGACGGCUCUAUGAGUUGUAAACUGCUUUUGUACGAGGGUAAACGCAGAUACGCGUAUCUGUCUGAAAGUAUCGUACGAAUAAUGAUCGGCUAACUCAGUCCCAGCAGCCGCGGUAAUACGGAGGAUUCAAGCGUUAUCCGGAUUUAUUGGGUUUAAAGGUUGCGUAGGCGGUCGGAUAAGUUAGAGGUGAAAUCCCGAGGCUCAACUUCGGAAUUGCCUCUGAUACUGUUCGGCUAGAGAGUAGUUGCGGUAGGCGGAAUGUAUGGUGUAGCGGUGAAAUGCUUAGAGAUCAUACAGAACACCGAUUGCGAAGGCAGCUUACCAAGCUACUUCUGACGUUGAGGCACGAAAGCGUGGGGAGCAAACAGGAUUAGAUACCCGAGUAGUC